CUCUAUUGUGGCUUCCCACGGUGUGUGUGUGGGGGGAAGAGAGACUGAUCGAUCAUCCAUGAUGGCCGCUUCGAUCGGAUCGUUCCUGCGGCGAUCAUCGUCAGGGAUGCGUUCCAAUCUUUCCCGGCGUUUGGAGGGGGAAGGAGCAUCAAACCUAAACUUCAUUGAGACUUUGGUUUACUUUUCCAAGAACUUCAUAAUAGAGCAACUUCUCUCAUACCAUCUGGUGGAUGAAAGCAAUAACUGACCCUUAAGAAUCUGGUCUCCAAUGUUGGUUGAUGUGAACACCUUGCUUGAACAAGAUGAAUAUAAAGAAAGUUAUCCUCCAAUGAGAGAAGUGGUCUGUUGCAAGUCAUAUCAUCCAAAAUGUCACUGAAGAGUUUAUGAUUUGCUUGGGGUUUAGGAAGAACGGAAAGAAAGGAUCACAGACGAUGAAAGAUCUGACAAAGGUAUGAGCAGGAAGUGACAAGUUCAAAGCCACCAACAAUGGUGGAGAUGCAAUUCCGAGCUAGCCGGUAUAGUGCAUUCCAACAUGGAGGUCUGAAGUCUCAGGGCAGGCAAGUGGAGAAGACAUAAUUCAACUCAAGGAAUUGAAAUGGAGGCACCGACGGUUCUUGUUUGAUGGUAAUGCUCGCUUGCUUCAGCUUCCAGCUCAUAACACCUUCAAAAGGAGAGUGAAGAUAUAUCAAGCUCUCACACUUGGAUGUAGACAGAAUUGUCUUCGGAGUUCUCUUUCCCUGUAGGAUAUGAAUUCACAGGAGAUAGAUUGCUGUUGAUAUAUUGACCAUAAUGUAGUAUUCUAGACAUUGGCCAAGCCACAAAAACCUGACAUAUUUAAUAAGUCGUUGCAGAUUAUGUUUAUGGUAGACAUGAUCUGAACAGUAAAUGCAAUAUGA